rnacentral:rRNA from 1 species
UGAGGAACAUGACCUUCGGCGGGGGAUAGCCGGCCCAACGGCCGGGUAAUACCGCGUACGACCACAUGGGGGCAUCCCUGAGUGGUGAAAGCAGCAAUGCGCCGAUGGAGUGCCUCGCGGCCUAUCAGCUAGUUGGUGAGGUAACGGCUCACCAAGGCGACGACGGGUAGCUGGUCUGAGAGGAUGGCCAGCCACAUUGGGACUGAGACACCGGCCCAGACCUCUACGGGGAGG